rnacentral:rRNA from 1 species
AGAGUUUGAUCAUGGCUCAGGGUUAACGCUGGCGGUGUGUAUAAUACAUGCAAGUCGAGCGCCUCGCACUUUGUUUAUAACUAAUAAAGACGCAUAAAUGCGUCUGUUGUCAAUAGAGUGCGAGGAGCGGCGAACGGCUGAGUAACACGUUGGUAACUGCCCCACACUCAGGGAUAACCUGCCGAAAGGCAUGGCUAAUACCGGAUGGUCCCGAAAGGGUAAAGAUUUUUCGGUGUGGGAGGUACCUGCGGCCUAUCAGUUUGUUGGUGAGGUAACGGCUCACCAAGACUAUGACGGGUAGCUGGUCUGAGAGGACGACCAGCCAGAAUGGGACUGAGACACGGCCCAUACUCCUACGGGAGGCAGCAGUAAAGAAUCUUCCACAAUGGGCGAAAGCCUGAUGGAGCAACACCGCGUGAACGAUGAAGGUCGAAAGAUCGUAAAGUUCUUUUCUGAGGGAAGAAUUCUGACGGUACCUUAGGAAUAAGCACCGGCUAACUCCGUGCCAGCAGCCGCGGUAAUACGGGGGGUGCAAGCGUUACCCGGAAUCAUUGGGCGUAAAGCGUUCGUAGGCGGUUUAUUAAGUCAGAUAUUAAAUCUUGGGGGCCCAACUCCAAGGCUGUAUCUGAAACUAAUAAACUAGAGACUUUCAGAGGCAUGCAGAAUUUUGUGUGUAGGGGUAAAAUCCGUAGAUACACAGAGGAAUACCAAAAGCGAAGGCAGCAUGCUGGGGAAGUUCUGACGCUCAUGGACGAAAGCGUGAUUAGCGAACGGGAUUAGAUACCCCGGUAGUCCACGCCGUAAACUAUGGAUACUAGUUGUUGGAGGGCUCGACCCCUUCAGUGACGACGCUAACGCAUUAAGUAUCCCGCCUGGGGAGUACGGUCGCAAGAUUAAAACUCAAAGGAAUAGACGGGGACCCACACAAGCGGUGGAGCAUCUGGCUUAAUUCGAUAAUGAGCGAGGAACCUCACCUGGACUUGACAUCCUGAGAAUUUUCUAGAAAUAGAGAAGUGCCUUAUGGAACUCAGUGACAGGUGCUGCAUGGUUGUCGUCAGCUCGUGCCUUGAGGUGUUCGGUUAAGUCCGUAAACGAGCGCAACCCAUGUCCUGUGUUGUAUUUUUCACGGGAGACUGCCGAUUCCAAGUCGGAGGAAGGUAUGGAUGACGUCAAAUCAGCAUGGCCCUUAUGUCCAGGGCUGCACAGGUGCUACAAUGGCUGGUACAAUGGGUAGCAAUACUGCAAAGUGGAGCCAAUCCCUAAAACCGGUCUAAGUUCGAAUUGAGGGCUGCAACUCGCCCUCAUGAAGUUGGAAUCGCUAGUAAACGCGGAUCAGCAAUAGCGCGUUGAAUACGUUCCUGGGUCUUGUACUCACCGCCCGUCAUACUACGGAAGGUGGAGAUGCCCGAAGUGCCCUUAGCUUUUAGCGGGGUCCUAAGGUAAAGCCACUGACUGAAGUAAAGUCGUAACAAAGGUA